GGAAGGAAAAAAUUGCAGCGGGGGUUCGACUUUGGAAUAUUCAAAAUGGCCGCCGUUACCAUGGGAACAGCAAAAUUAUGAAAAACUUCAAAAUGCUUUAAAGUUAAUAAAACUGAAAACAAAUUUUGCCUAGCUUAUGUAGACUUAACUUUUGAUUUUCGAAUUUUCAAAAUGGCUGCCGUUGCCAUGGAAACAGCAAUAAUUUUCUGAAUGGCUGCCGCUGGCCUGGCAAUGGGGAAAGGGUGCCAUCCGCUAUUGCUUGCAAUCGCAAAUCUAGUUUUUAUUAUUUUUCUUCCACACAUUUUGUCCAGGAGAUUUCUCGAAAUCCAAAGGACCAAAGUUGAUGGAACUCUAUUAUAUUGAGGACCCUUAGGUGAAGAGUUGCAGGCACCAUGGAAUGGUUCAAGAUGGCUGCCGUUUCCAUGGAAACUGCAAAAAUGUGAAAAAUUUUCAAAAUUCAAAAUUCUUCAUUAUAAGACCCAAAUGGAUGAAACUUUGUGGAAGUGUUACCUGAUAUGCCUAGAUGUGCAUGCAAUAUCAAGAGGUUCCAAAAUGGCCGCCAUUGUCAUGGAAACAGGGCGAAAGUUUAACAUUGACCAUAUGGGAAAACACAUAAAAGCUACAUUUUCUUGAAGAAUAUAGCAUCGAUCCCAAUGAAACUUUAUAGAUAUGUAAUAUGGCAUGUACCAAUGUGCCAC
rnacentral:lncRNA from 1 species